rnacentral:misc_RNA from 1 species
UUGAGUUUUAUUUGGAUUCUAUUUAUGUAGAUAUGAAUUUUAAAUAUAAAAUAUUUAAUUUAAUAUUAUACUAAAAUUCUAUAAUUGCUCAUUUGAAUAAUAUAUUCAAAUUUACAUUAAUUUUAAAAGCACAUCUACCCGUACCCUAACAACAAUGGUUUUCUCAUUGUUAUUCACAAAAACCAUAGGCAUCCAAUAAGAAUACGAAAUUCCUGGAAUCUGUAGAAAAGGUAGGACUUGGUAUAUUGAUGCAGUUCAUAAAUGGCCAUAUAACUAGAAAUCCCACACCCACCCCAAGAGAAAAAAAAAAUAUAUAUAUAUAUUCCAGACCAUACAUCAAGUAAUAGCUAGUUCACUGGCAAGGCUUUUAAUUCCAUUUCUGGAUAUGAUCAUUCUACGACCUCAAUCUUCUUUGACCUUUUGCGCAGAACUAUUGGAGGACAUUGCAUAUCACCCACUUUUGCAGGAACUAUUACUAUCUUUUCUAAGACCACUCCUUGUUUUUUUAGAAGUGACAAGAAAUGAGCUUCAUUUUCUGUUUCAGUAAAUUGUUUCAUCUUCACUUCCUUGAGACUAGGCAUGCUGAGAUCAAUUGGUUUAUUUAAGAGUUCCUCUGACAAACUCUCAUCUUUGUCAAUCUUGAAAAGAUAAUCAAGGAUCAUUGUCUCAAUAUUGGGAGCAAGCUUGAGCAAUGCAGCCAUCCCAAGAAGAUCAUAUUGCGUGUAUCCCGUUUGUAACUCUAAAUGUUUGAGAUUGUAUAACAGAAAGCCUUCGGAAAAAAAUUCAUUUGGCACCAACUAUGGACAUCGAUAACAUCCAAGGAAAGAUUAUUAAAAUAAAAUUUGAACUGCUACUUUACCCAAAAAACACACUUCUAGCUGUAAAUGAUUGACAACCACAAUCACAAUGGCAUGGUGUCCUUUAAAUAAUAACUAAAAUAUUGAGCGUUCAAUAUAUCCAUUAAGAGAUAAAACACAAUGAACAAAGUCACAAGGUUGAAGUAAGUCAGAAAUUGUUAUGCUCAAUAGCCAUAGAGACUUAGCCUACCAACCUUCAAUAAGUAUUCCAGAAAGACCACCAAGUCAACUUGCUUCUUACAUUGAUUAAUCUAUGAGGCACAACCUGUUGAGAGGCAGCUAAAAUCUCCCAGUUAUGCAAUCCUGAAGCUAAUGAUUAUUUUAUAAAUUUCAUUGAAUCUCAAUAACAAUCUAGCUGCAAAUUAUCAAUCCUAGCAGCCAAAAACUUAAAAUUAACAGUAUGAUAUUGUAUAUUUUGGAUGAAACAGUUAGUAAAUAUCCAGAUGCUAUAAGAUUACUUAAUCUGGAAUUAUAUACAUAAAAAAAUCAUAAUAAAUGAUUCAAACUAUAUAUGAAAAGUACUUAUUUUGACAACUAUUUUGGAACAAAUAGAACUGUUGCACUUGAUAUGGUCUAAUUUUAUUAAGCUAUAUUGAAAGUGACUGUUAUGCCCUUCUCAUCCAUUUCUAACUAUGCAACUCUAGAUAUCAGGAAUUAUUAAAGGGUUUCAACCAAGCACCACAGAUAAAAGAGAAGCAUUUCUUUUUGUUGAUGUGGCUGAUCUUGCCUUGUAUGAUAACAGUUUAGUAGGUCAUCCUAAUGCAAGACCUACAUAUUUUAGGAAGAAAUUUGGGAUAUUUAAUUAAGUAAUAGUAUUUUACGUAUUUAGGAGUUUGUGUUGAUUUAGUGUUCAUUAUUUUGGGAUAUUAUAAAUACUUAUGCAAUCUAGGUAUUUUGGUAGAAAUUAUUAUUGACAAUUGAGAAUUA